UCCUUUAACGAGGAACAACUGGAGGGCAAGUCUGGUGCCAGCAGCCGCGGUAACUCCAGCUCCAGAAGCGUAUAUUAAAGUUGUUGCAGUUAAAAAGCUCGUAGUUGGAUCUGGGUCGCAUGGCUACGUGCCGUAGCUUGUAUUCCUGGCUCGGCUACGGUUGGGUCGGGUUUGUGAGUCGGUUUCGUGGCUGUGUAGCCUUUCUGCUGUGUCUGUUUCGACAGGUGCCGAUGGUUCUACCGUUGGCAUGCUUCCUGAUGCCUUUAACCGGGUGUCGGGGGCGGACGGCAUGUUUACUUUGAACAAAUUUGAGUGCUCAAAGCAGGCUUAUGCCUGAAAAUUCUUGCAUGGAAUAAUGGAAUAGGACUUCGGUUCUAUUUUGUUGGUUUUCGGAUCCGAAGUAAUGGUUAAGAGGGACAGACGGGGGCAUUUGUAUGGCGGUGUUAGAGGUGAA
rnacentral:rRNA from 1 species